rnacentral:rRNA from 1 species
GACGAACGCUGGCGGCGUGCUUAACACAUGCAAGUCGAACGGAAAGGCCCUGCGUUUGUGGGGUGCUCGAGUGGCGAACGGGGGAGUAACACGUGAGUAACCUGCCCCUGACUGUGGGAUAACAUCAGGAAAAGGGGGCUAAUACCGGAUAGGAGCUCCUGCUGCACGGGGGGGGUUGGAAAGUGUCGGCGGUUGGGGAUGGACUCGCGGCGUAUCAGCUUGUUGGGGGGGUAACGGCUUACCAAGGCUUCGACGGGAAGCCGACGUGAUCGGGUGAUAGGCCACACGGGAACUGAGACACGGACCAGACGCCUACGGGAGGCAGCAGUAGGGAACCUUCCGCAAUGGGCGAAAGUUUUACGGAGCAACGCCGCGUGAGUGAUGAAGGUCUCCGGAUCGUAAAACUCUGUUAUGAGGUAAGAACAAAUGUGUAAGUAACUAUGCACGUCUUGACGGUACCUAAUCAGAAAGCCCCGGCUAACUACGUG